GAAAUCAACCGAGAUUCCCCCAGUAGCGGCGAGCGAACGGGGAGCAGCCCAGAGCCUGAAUCAGUAUGUGUGUUAGUGGAAGCGUCUGGAAAGGCGCGCGAUACAGGGUGACAGCCCCGUACACAAAAAUGCACAUAUUGUGAGCUCGAUGAGUAGGGCGGGACACGUGGUAUCCUGUCUGAAUAUGGGGGGACCAUCCUCCAAGGCUAAAUACUCCUGACUGACCGAUAGUGAACCAGUACCGUGAGGGAAAGGCGAAAAGAACCCCGGCGAGGGGAGUGAAAAAGAACCUGAAACCGUGUACGUACAAGCAGUGGGAGCACGCUUAGGCGUGUGACUGCGUACCUUUUGUAUAAUGGGUCAGCGACUUAUAUUCUGUAGCAAGGUUAACCGAAUAGGGGAGCCGAAGGGAAACCGAGUCUUAACUGGGCGUUAAGUUGCAGGGUAUAGACCCGAAACCCGGUGAUCUAGCCAUGGGCAGGUUGAAGGUUGGGUAACACUAACUGGAGGACCGAACCGACUAAUGUUGAAAAAUUAGCGGAUGACUUGUGGCUGGGGGUGAAAGGCCAAUCAAACCGGGAGAUAGCUGGUUCUCCCCGAAAGCUAUUUAGGUAGCGCCUCGUGAAUUCAUCUCCGGGGGUAGAGCACUGUUUCGGCAAGGGGGUCAUCCCGACUUACCAACCCGAUGCAAACUGCGAAUACCGGAGAAUGUUAUCACGGGAGACACACGGCGGGUGCUAACGUCCGUCGUGAAGAGGGAAACAACCCAGACCGCCAGCUAAGGUCCCAAAGUCAUGGUUAAGUGGGAAACGAUGUGGGAAGGCCCAGACAGCCAGGAUGUUGGCUUAGAAGCAGCCAUCAUUUAAAGAAAGCGUAAUAGCUCACUGGUCGAGUCGGCCUGCGCGGAAGAUGUAACGGGGCUAAACCAUG
rnacentral:rRNA from 1 species